GACGACAGCGACUUCUCGUCGUCGCCACCGCCACCACACGCCGCCACUUGGGGCGGCACCGGUCCCGUUGGAACCACCACACUCCCUACUUUCCAUUCCACCCCAGCGCCGCCUCGAUCCGCCACCGUGGUCGCCGGAAUCAGCCACGAAAGGUAGCGGUUUGGACAGAUUUUUCCCAAACUUUCGGCCCUUCGUUCUCUCUCAUUUCUCCACCAAAUUGGACGAGUAAGGUGCUGGUGUUAUUCUCUGCAUAGAAAAGGCAAUUAGCUCAGUCUGGGAUGUCUAGAGGAGAUGUUAAUUACAUCAACGCACAUGCUACAUCCACACCGUUCAGAGACCUCAAAAAGUAUAAUGCUCUUAUUCAUUGUUUUGGCCAGAAUACUCCUGAGUUGAGAGUAAAACUCUACAAAAUCCAUGAUUGGUGACCUAUACUAGCUAGGAGCAGCUCGUGCUGUAGAAGCUGUUGCAGCAGUACAGAGACUUUGGUGGGAUGGAAAGGCUUGACAUGUUCUUCCCAUUUGACCCAUGUCUGCCGAAAAAAAGAGUGACAGGUUUGUAUUGGCUAUGAAUUGAUCCUUGCAUUAGGAGAUUCCUUUCUAUCUAAUUUCAAAUAUAACAUUGGAAAAACUCA